AUAUUUUCCUCAUUUUGACCUUCACUUUCGGUUUGAUAAAGAGGCAAUAUGGAGACAUGAACACUACGGUCAUGGCAAGGCUACUGAGAAGUUCAAGCGUGUGUGGAAAGUAUGGUCACGUAAAACAACUUUACGGAUCAUCUUUCUCAAAUAGGUGCCUUUGGACGUCACCUGUUUUGCAGGCAGAUGAUGAUGGUAAAAAGUCCUUUGGGACCAAACAAAUACAGUUUAUCAAGUCCAUUUUCGAUAAGUCUGACUUUGGACCUUAUGAAAUACAGAAGGAAUCUCACUCAAGCCAGCUGUCAGACAAAGAAAAUGUGUAUGAAAUUCAGUUUCAUGCGGUGAAGCCAGAAAAUAUGGAGGAAUAUUUGAAACAGUUCUCAAAAUUUCAAGAGUUGAUGCAUGAAAAGAAAACAGGUGCUCAUUUGGUGGGAAGUUUUACAGUGGAGAUAGGAGACCAAGAUGAAGCAAUUCAUAUUUGGGAAUACAAAGGAGGGUAUCCAGUUUUAAAUAAUGCCACAGAAAUCUACAGGACCGACCAGGAUUUCAUCAACUACAGAACAAACAGAAAUAAAAUGCUUCGGUACAGAAAGAAUCAAAUUCUUCUACCCUUCAACUUCUGGCCUGCCCCAGUUCCCAGAGAGGGAAGGAAUAUUUAUGAAAUGAGAAGCUACACACUAAAGCCUGGGUCAAUGAUAGAGUGGUCAAAUUGUUGGGCAAAAGGUUUACGAUAUCGGCAGGAUAAUGAUGAGGUGGCAGUCUGCGGACUGUUCACUGAUCUAGGUGACUUAUUCACAGUGCAUCACAUGUGGGGGUAUAAAGAUUUACAGACAAGGAAAGAAACAAGAGAAAUGGCCUGGAGCAAACCAGGCUGGGAUGAAUGUGUUGCCUACACAGGUUAGCUAAAUGGCUGUAUAUCAUUUUGAGUUCUACAGCAACAGUUGUAUCCCCAAUUUGUCAUUGUAGAUGAGCAUUUAUGUAAUACUUUUGAUUUCACAUAUUAUUAUUUUUAUGUAGUUAUUAUGCCCCCCCCCCCCCCCCCCCCCCUCCCCUUCAAAGAAGAGGGGCAUAUUGGUUUGCACCUGUCUGUCGGUAGACCACAUGUUGUCCGCUCAAUAUCUUGAGAACCAUUCACUUGAUGAUAAUGAUAUUUCAUAUGUGGGUUGGGUAUGAGUAGAAGAGGACCCCUAUUGUUUUUCAGGUCAAAGGUCAAUCUACUCUAUUAUGUCUGCUCAAUAUCUUGAGAACCCUGUGCUCGAAAGACAUCAAACUUGGCACACUGGUACAUCCUAAGGAGUAGAUGAUCUCUAUUGAUUUUGAGGUCAUAUGGUCAAAGGUCAAACUGGGCAUAGGAAUAUACUGACCAUUCAAUGUCUAGAGAACCCUUUGCUUGACAGACAUCAAACUUGGUACACCAGUACGUCUUCAGAAGAAGAUGACCCCUAUUGAUUUUGAGGUCACAUGUUUAAAGGUCAAGGGUUAACCUGGACAUUGGAAUAUACUGUCCACUCAAUAUCUUGAGAACCCUUUGCUUGACAGACAUCAAACUGAGUACACUGGUGUAUAUUCAGGAGAAGAUGACUCCUAUUGAUUUUGAGGUCACAUGUCAAAGGUCAAGCUGGACAUAUAAUAUACUGUCCACUCAAUAUCUUGAUAACCCUUUUGCUUGACAGACACCAAACUUGGUACACUGGUACAGCAUAAGGAGUAGAUUACCCCUAUUGAUUUUUAGGUCGCAUGGUCAAUUCACUCUUGACAUAGGAAGAUAUUUUCUGCUCAAUAUUUUGAUGUGUGUGUAUUAACCCUUUUCAAUUUUGCACCAUGGGGGGCAUAUGUGUUUUACAAACAUCUCUUGUUUAUUUUUGCAGUACCACUAAUUCGCCAUAUGAAGUCCAGGAUUCUGAUACCUACCCCUUUCUCCCCAGUACAGUAAAAUGUAUUCCACAUUGCUAUAGUCCUAAGAAAACAAAGUGCUGAUCGAUACAUAUUUAUGCACUGUAUAUAAAAAUAAAAGAACGUAUGAAUUUGUAAAGAUCUAAUUAAAUUUGGCAGUAAAAUGAAAAAAGUAUUAGUUUUUGCUCUAGUCAUCUGUCAUUCAUGACUAUAAUAAAGAACGUAUUAGCAUUUUGUGAUAUUAUAGAACACCUGAGAAAAAGUUGGUUGUGUUGUAUUUUGAGGUGCUGAGCAUAAUAUUCACUUGAAUAAGCAUAGUAAAUCCUGUAAAGAUAUUACAUGUGUAAUAGUUUCACUGUACCUGUUAAAGAUUUUGUAGUAUUUGAGGAACAGUGCAUAAAUGUACAUAUUACACAAACAUAAUUUGUGAAUGAUUGUACAUGUAUCGUAAAAUUGCAAUUGUGCUGUAUUUAUGGGAAUAUUUUUUGCGAUUUGAAUGUAAUGAUAAUCUCUGUUUUUCAAACAAACAUAGUUCUGCAGAAUGACUCCCCUAGAAAUAAUAUAUUUGUUAAAGUAGAUGGUCCAUUUGCAGCGAUGUUAUUUUUGUGAAUUGAUUGAUAGAUUUAUCAACAAUAAAUAGGUACUUGUAAAA